GGCCUGAGGCGCAGCGGUCGCGUUAGUUCGGCCCAAUGGCGGCACCGCUGCUUCACACGUUGUUUGUCGGGAGAUGCGGCCGCUUCGUCCUCUGCAGUCAAGACGCUGGGCGCGUCGAGGACUGGCUUCUACUUGAAUGAAGACAAAAAUCUAGGCCGGGCGCGGUUGCUCACGCCUGUAAUCCCAGCACUUUGGGAGGCCGAGGUGGGCGGAUCACCUGAAGUCAGGAGUUCGAGACCAGCCUGGCCAACAUGCGAAACCUCGUCUCUACUGAAAAUAUAAAAAUUAGCCAGGCGUGGUGGCAGGUGCCUGUAAUCCCAGCUACUCAGGAGGCUGAGGCAGGAGAAUUGCUUGAACCCGGAGAUGGAGGUUGCAGUUAAGCUGAGAUCACACCACUGCACUCCAGCCUGGGCAGCAGAGCAAGACUCCAUCUCAAAAAAAAAAAAAAAUCCAGCCACGUAGAGAUUUGGGAAAAGAGUAUUUCCAAUAGAGUGAACAGUAAGUGAAAUGAGAAACAGCUUGGCUUGUUUGAAGAGCAGAAAAGACAUGAUGGCUGUAGUAAAACAAGUUGUUGGAGAUGAGGUGAGAGAGGUAGGCGGGGGCCAGAUUAAUGUAGGAUUUUAAAGACCACACUGAGAGAUUUGGAUUGUUACUGUAAGUGCAGUGGGAAGACAGUUAUUGGUUGCUGAGCAAAGGAGGGAUUGUUGGUUAAGAGUGGAAGCAGGGAGACCAGUAAAGAGGCCUUAACAAUAGUCCCACUGAAUUAUGUUGGUUCAAUAAAGGUUGGCUAUUAUAAUUUUUAUUAUUUUCAUGAACUUAAUAGCUUGUUAAUCUUGGUUCCACAGGAUUUCAAAUAUGCGUGCAUUAGAGAAUGAUUUUUUCAAUUCUCCCCCAAGAAAAACUGUUCGGUUUGGUGGAACUGUGACAGAAGUCUUGCUGAAGUACAAAAAGGGUGAAACAAAUGACUUUGAGUUGUUGAAGAACCAGCUGUUAGAUCCAGACAUAAAGGAUGACCAGAUCAUCAACUGGCUGCUAGAAUUCCGUUCUUCUGUCAUGUACUUGACAAAAGACUUUGAGCAACUUAUCAGUAUUAUAUUGAGAUUGCCUUGGUUGAAUAGAAGUCAAACAGUAGUGGAAGAGUAUUUGGCUUUUCUUGGUAAUCUUGUAUCAGCAUAGACUGUUUUCCUCAGACCGUGUCUCAGCAUGAUUGCUUCCCAUUUUGUGCCUCCCUGAGUGAUCAUUAAGGAAGGCGAUGUAGAUGUUUCAGAUUCUGAUGAUGAAGAUGAUAGAAUGUUACGUUCAUAACUUACUAAGGAUUAGUGUAUAUUUUCCAACCUUGAGGCAUGAAAUUCUGGAGCUUAUUAUUGAAAAACUACUCAAGCUGGAUGUGAAUGCAUCCCGGCAGGGUAUUGAAGAUGCUGAAGAAACAGCAAAUCAAACUUGUGGUGGGACAGAUUCCACGGAAGGAUUGUUUAAUAUGGGAUUCGCAGAGGCAUUUUUGGAACAUCUUUGGAAAAACUUGCAGGAUCCAAGUAAUCCUGCCAUCAUCAGGCAGGCUGCUGGAAAUUAUAUUGGAAGCUUUUUGGCAAGAGCUAAAUUUAUUUCUCUUAUUACUGUAAAACCAUGCCUAGAUCUUUUGGUUAACUGGCUGCACAUAUACCUUAAUAACCAGGAUUCGGGAACAAAGGCAUUCUGCGAUGUUGCUCUCCAUGGACCAUUUUACUCAGCCUGCCAAGCUGUGUUCUACACCUUUGUUUUUAGACACAAGCAGCUUUUGAGCGGAAACCUGAAAGAAGGUUUGCAGUAUCCUCAGAGUCUGAAUUUUGAGCGGAUAGUGAUGAGCCAGCUAAAUCCCCUGAAGAUUUGCCUGCCCUCAGUGGUUAACUUUUUUGCUGCAAUCACAAAAGUUUUCAUUUUACAGGAUGAAGACUUGUGGAUAUGGAUGGUGGUGAUGGUUGCACAACAAUAUCAAUUUAUUUUAUACCACUGAACCGUGCACUUCAAAAUGGUUAAGAUGGUAAGUUUUAUGUUGUGUAUUUUACCAUAAUAAAAAAAAUUGUAGAGGGAAAAA
ensembl:lncRNA novel transcript